CAGAGAACUCAAGACAGAGAUCAACACUCUGGACGGGGAUUUCCAGACCCAGAUCAGCUUGCUGCUGAGACAUGCUUUGUCUGAAAAAUCAGAAAUGUGUUGUGGGAGUGUGCAGCUCGUGGUCCCUCACCUGGCCAUGCAGCCGCCUCUCCAUCCAAGCCAGUGGUCAGACAGGGAGGAAGGACAUUUGCCUGUAAUCUAUUUCUCUUAAGACUUGGCCUCACCUUGUGGGGUUUCCACAGAAUGGAUCUUGUCCAGAAUAUCAUCCUCAUCAUGACUGGCAAUAAUGAGGAGCUAAGAUCUCCCUCUCGAGUGGGUGGGAACUCACUUUGCAAGAAAGAUGGCUCUGGUUUGGAGAAUCUCUGGGUUGACUGGCUGCUGCGAAGGCUGUCAAAGUACAGAUUUCCAGUGCACCAUCAGAAGCCGAAGUAACUGUGAGUGGGAGGCAUUGGAACCAGUUGGAGCUCCACUUCAUUGCCUUGUACCUCCUGUUCCCCCUUGGGGCCACACCUCCAGCAGCAGUAAGUAUAGAGUAAUUAUUUCUGCCAGAAACAUUCCCCCUAAAACGGGCUGGGCUGACUUGGUGUGUGUAUGUGUGUGCUUGAAAGAAAGGCAUAUAAUAAUAUCAGGUCUAUUUGUUUUCCCUCUUUUAAUGCCCACUGGUUCUCCAAGAUGUCAUUGGCAAACACAACAGCGUUUGCUUUUGUUCCCUUUACAAAUAUUUUCCUCUCAAGGCCUAUUUCUUACAACUGCUGUGUGUCUCACUAUGGAGAGCAAUAGUUCUCGAGUAGUCGACUGA
rnacentral:lncRNA from 1 species